UGCGUAGGCGGCCUUGUAGGUUGGGUGUGAAAUCCCACGGCUCAACGGUGGAACUGCGCUCAAAACCACGAGGCUUGAGGGAGACAGGGGUGAGCGGAACUGAUGGUGGAGCGGUGAAAUGCGUUGAUAUCAUCAGGAACACCGGUGGCGAAGGCGGCUCACUGGGUCUCUUCUGACGCUGAGGCACGAAAGCUAGGGUAGCGAACG
rnacentral:rRNA from 1 species